rnacentral:lncRNA from 1 species
AUCGUCAAAAUGGCCGAGCAUUGACUUCCCGUUGUAGCUUGUGUGUGCGCGUUGCCUCGGCCUUCACAGCUAAUCUCAAGACGUUGCAUACUGGCUUGGGAGAGAUGCGGGAGGCGAACCCUUCGACGUAAAAUGAAACGUUUGCGUUCCCCCUUAAAGUACUGCGCCCAUCGCUGUGCCAACCAAAUGCCUUCAAUCACAUCGCCAUUCUGUUCAUGGGUCACGACCUCUGUGCUUAGCAUGUUUCUGCUUUCGGUUGUGACCAAAUAAUGCAAGCAAGUGCAUGCUCUUCUUCCUUCACCUUGAAAUGUAUGUAAGUAGCUGUGCAGCGCUCUGGCAUACAAUGCGAACAAGGUACAAAUACCCAUAUCCUUUGCCGAUCGUAAGAAAGGUAAAUAUACGUUAAAUCGCUGUUGUCCUAACUGUAUUUUACUGACGGUGGGUAAUGGUGAAUAAUUUUGUUAUUUCUAGCAAACCAGUUACAACACCAGUGCUAUGAAAUCUUCAUUUCGCAAACUGUUGUUUUGGCAAACUUGAAAAAAUCAAAACAUUUUAUAUCUUACUUUAUGAUGGCACUGUGUGAAACCUCCAAAUAUUUUUCAGGAUCAUUGUGAUCAAGCACUUGCUAGCAUUCUGUCAGUGCGCACUAAACACACAAAUUUCUGAUGAGUCAAUGUCUUAAAGUCAUCAGUGUGGAAGAAUGCAUCCGUAAUCAUAUUUAAAAGUUGCUGCAUUUGAUGAUGUGGUGAUUGCUGAGUGCAAAUAAUCUAGUUCAAGAGCAUAGAAGUCAGCGCUUCGUGAAGAAAUAUUAGUUUGUAGCACACCGAAGACAUGGACAGUGAAAGUGGACAGGCCAGUGUAGUAAGCGCUGCGCUGUCCUCUUUUACAUUAUGUGUGUUUCUAUAUAUGUCUAGCAUAUCUUUCCAGUUUUAAUGAUGUUAACACUCGUUUCGUGGCUCCCAGCCUUGCAGGGAUAUUGCGUACUUUCUCCUGUGUCGCAUUUUUUCUCGUCAAAACUGCUACAAUAUCCUUAAAAGGGCAAGCUGCAAGUUUGUCCAUACUAUAUUUUAUAAUAUUACAGUGUGUACUAUGUCGUUUUUCUGUUAUUCCUAAUUUUACUGCAAUACCUGCAAUCAUUGGUGCCAUUAUUUUGAUUUUUAUGCUGUUUGUUAACCUUUUCAGUUGAGCAAUGCGUUGCAGCAGUAUCUUGCUCCUUGCAAGACGGGUCAUUAUUCUCAUUGACAUCAGCCAGAAUUUGCAUCGUAAAUCUUGCACAGCUAGCCAUAAUUGGCACCUCUUCAAAGAUUGCGAACUCUUGUUAUGAUCACAAUUUUUCUCCUUGAGCACAACAUCCACAUACAUGGAUGCAACUUCAUUUUGCCAGUUAUCUGGACUAUUGGUCAAGGCAGAGCAAGAUAGAUUGCGUAUGGGAUGAAUUAAGCCUUCUGAAUAACCACUGUGUCUUUCUUUAACCUCAAGUGCUGCGUCCUACUCCAGCCGACCACUUCAGUGAAGGCACUACGAUGUUCGACGGCUCGGUCGACAUGUCGCAUUCCAAGACCAACAUCAAAAGUUUUUUUUUUCUCUCUAAAUGAAGACAACGAAAAGCAAAUUUCUUAGGCAUUUCGAGCCUACAUUUGAAUAUUUUUUAUCUAGAAAUGGAGAGCGAGAGAGAAGAAACGUUUAUUGAUAUUCAGGCUGUUUGUGGGUAGGUGGUGCCUCCUCUUCCAGGACCCCACUGGCUACAGCGGUAGAUGUAGAAAUGGAAUAUUACUGACUGCAGAAUUAAACCUUUUUGUACAUGCUAAUCAGGAUUAAUUACUAACUCUUGCAUAAAACAGCAUUUUACAUAAUUUUAUUUCCUGGAAUGUAAUAUCGAGUGCCUCAGAAUGAUGUUGUGCGAAUUUUGACGCAUUUGCAGACAGUCAGUCAUAAUUCGUGCCUGUGAGAGUUAUGCAUGGUGAUGUUUUUCUUUCACAAUGUUCUGGGCAUGUAUGUUUAUCUUGGAACAAUAUGUAGGAAUAUUUUCUUAUAAAGAAAUGUAGUGUAGAUUUGAUUGUGGAACUUCGCUUAUCUGAAACUUCCACUUUUCUUUUCCUGUUAAAUAAAUCUUUACAUUAUUUUGUGGGCUGUUCCUUCAGAGCUAUGUAAUCAUAUGCCAAAGGACUUCCUCCCAUGCUACUAGGAAGCUCACUGUCAUCAGAACUAUAGGGAGUUAAGCUGCUGCUGUUCUUCAAGGCUGUUUUGUGGACAACAUAUUGCAAGCAAUAACGUGCAUUAUUUGCAUACAAAACAUGAAGACGCAUUCUUCAUGUUGCACAGUAAAAUACAUUGGGCUCAUACAAAGCACACUGUGCCUUUUGGUAAAUAUUACUGCUGUUGUAACAAUCAACUGGCAACAAAUGGCCCUGCAUGUAGCACAGCUUUCAGGUAAGGCUGGCUUUAUGACCAUUUUGGAAAAGCUGAAGCCUUAUCAUAGCCUUGAUGGGCUUGUGAGCAUGUAAAACGUCAUUGCGUAUCAUGUAAAAUUCAGUAAAAUAAAGUUGCAAUAUUUUAUUUUCUCCUCUGCCAUUGGCGGCUUCACGCUGUCACUUACCGUCAUCUGUAGACAUGACGGAGUCGAAGUGCCUGUGGCAGAGGGACCAGAACGCACAAAAAAGCUGUUCAGCCCCCUCCCUCAACAUACGUGCACAUAGCAGACCACACCAAUGCCAAGAUGUGAA